AUGAGACAUUCAGUGCCGGAGCUUCCAAAGGGAUCUUCAUCCAGUGAUGAAGUUGGAUCCUUUACAGAAAAUAAUUCCUUCGAAGCAUCUGAAGCUAAGCUACAGAAUUUGGACUCUUGUGAAAUUGAGGAAGAAAAUUGUUAUGUGGAUGAUGAAGAUGAAGGCUACUAUGAUGAUGAAUACGAGGGUCCUGAUUAUGAAUUUGACGGAAGUGACUUCAAUCAGCAAAUUGACUUGAAUCAGCAGCUGGAGUAUAAAUUUGACGAUUUAGAUCUGCCUCCAGGUGUGGAGGCUAGUGUACCAUUGUUGCAGAAAGCUAUAACUGAUGACGGGCCUGGCAAUUUUAAGUCAAUGUCAGGAAAAGAGGAUGAAUUUGGUAAGAAAUACAGGUUUUUUAAGCAGUUCGACACUGUUGAGGAUUUCCCUGAUCAUCAUUAUGCUAAAAACCCUGUUGGAAAGACAGGGAAAGGGUGGACAAAAAGAAUUCAGCAUGACUGGAAACUCCUGGAGAACAAUUUACCAGCGUCCAUAUAUGUUCGUGUCUCGGAAAAUCGAAUGGACCUUCUCAGGGCUGUGAUGAUUGGGCCCCAGGGGACACCCUACCAUGAUGGCCUUUUCUUCUUUGAUGCUCAAUUCCCUGCUAGUUACCCCGCACGUCCUCCUGUUUUACACUAUCAAUCUGGAGGACUUGAGCUUAAUCCAAAUUUGUAUGCUAGUGGAAGAGUCUGCCUUAGCCUCCUGGGCACCUGGCGUGGCGAUGACUGUGAGAAUUGGAACUCGGCUCAGUCGACCAUGCUGCAAGUGCUAAUCUCCAUUCAAGCUCUCGUGUUGAAUGAAAAGCCAUACUUCAACGAGCCAGGAUUCGAGACCGAUGCCAAAUAUGCUAAUGGACAGAGGAGGUCCUUGGAGUAUAAUGAUACAACAUUUCAGAACUCGUGUAGGACGAUGCUGUACUCGCUUCGUAGGCCUCCACAGCACUUUGAAGAUCUCGUUGCCGGGCACUUCCGUGAACGCGGCCGUGCCAUUCUGGCUGCAUGUAAAUAUUACAUGGAGGGCAACAGAGUUGGGUCCGUAGUCCCUGGUGAGGACGAUGAGGGCAAGGAACUGGAAAUUGUAAAUGCUCAAGGACCCAGCAGCAGCGACGUGGUGAAGCCAGAGAAGCAUGAAGGUGCAGGUCGACGAACUGCAUCCUUCAAGGCCAAAAUGGAGGUUCUGUUUGAAGAGCUCCUGAUGGAAUUCAACGUGAAGGGUGCUCACACCAGGAAGUUCUGUGCCGAGAAGUUGAAGAAGAGCCAGCGUGAUGCUGCUUCCAGCUGCAGCAGCAGUCCAGCAGAUAUCUGUGGUGGUUCCAUAAUUAAGUGA
rnacentral:rRNA from 1 species